GCGGGUAAUAGUUUUAGUGGGUAAAA
rnacentral:tRNA from 1 species